rnacentral:ncRNA from 1 species
CAUAUGGCGUUGAUAAGGAACAGUAGUAUCGCGGGGCAUGGCUUAGAGAGCCGGCGGAUGGUGCAAGCCGGACCUGCAGCGAUAUGAAUCUCACCUUGGAGCUGUGCGCGCAAGCGUACCGUAAGGCCUGCGUUAAAGGCAACAAGUGAGCACUCGGCAAAGCAUGUCCGGGGGCUAACUAGGGUGGUACCACGGGAGACAGCUCUCGUCCCUAGC